rnacentral:lncRNA from 1 species
CAGGAAUCCAUUGAGACUGGAGCAGUGAGUAGGCUAAGACUAGAAUAAGCAGAAGCUGGCCUCCGUCUCUCCAUCCUUGCCUGUUGAUGGUUAAUGCCUUCAGAUGUGCCUGUGAGGGAGUUCCUAGAUUGGCGUAACUGAGGCUGAGGCCCUCCCAUUUACUACAGUUGGCCUCUAGAGUCUUUCCUGCACACUUUGAACUGAUGAGUCUCAGCCAGUCAGUGAAGCUUCAUGAAACCGGGGCUCCGUAACCGGCUCUUCAAUUUUGACAUGUUGGGAUUGCGUGUGAAGGGACAGCGGCGGAGCCAGUUGAGAAGUGAGUGGACCAGAUUGCAAAGUAGCCCGACAAGAUAUCCUUAUUAAGAUAAAAUUGUGAAUUUUCAGAAAUCACGGGUACACAUCAGACAGCUGAAGGGACAGACGUAGACCCGUGGUGUUCUCAAAAGCGCCACAAGAUGGCGCUGCUGCUGCUUCCCAGUCCCGACUACAGAGAAACUGCCAGCAGUGGCUGGAACAGUUAGUCAGAAGUUCUCUAUAAGUUUGAAGUGAUUACCCAGUGAACAUAUUUCUUAAGUAAUCUUCAAUUUUGGCUGCUGGAGAGCUCCUCACAAUGAGGCCUUUUGAAACGGGCUCCGUAUAAGCCUUGCUCUCUUGGUCAUGUUUGUCAGAGUCUGGGACAUCAAGCUUAAGGGAAGGAAAAUGGCUGGCUGGUCAAACUGCCACAGGGACAAACUGCCGCAAAACACCAGCACCAGGAGUCCUUUUGCAUCAGACUCUUGAUUGUUCUUUCUGGCACAAGCCAGACUUACGAGGUUUCCCCAUCCUUCUUCCUGGGUCUUCUUCCAGGUAUCCAGCUGGUCCCCCAGCAGUUGCAACAUUGGAAUUAGACUUGUUUGUGUGAGGCUCUGCCCGAAAGCUGCAGAGAAGCUAGUAUUUAGACAUGAUGGCCCGGGCAUGCGUGAUUGCACGCAUGCAUGAAUCCAUCUGUCCAUUCCAGGGCUCCAGGCAGUAUGGUAGGAGCUGGAAAAUACAGCAAACCUGAUAGCUACCUAUCUGAAUUUGUGUGUGUGUCUGGCUCCUGACCUUUUCCACCUGGAAUCUUGCUCGUGGUAGGGACUCCUAUCUUUUCAGCUCCCCCUUUGGUGCCUUUAUGCUUGAAUGGCGUCUCACAGUUUGAUUAUUUGAACUGUAGCUUUCAUGCGGCUUCUGGGAAAAAUCCCCAACAACCCUGUCUGCCUCUGAUCACAUCCUCUGGCGGACAAAACAAGCUGACCUGAGUCUGGGUGACGAACCAACCUUGCAUGACUGGCCCUGAGAAAGGAGAUAACCCUGGAAGGCAGAAUACUACUUUUAAAACGAGGAGUGAUGGCUUCCCAAGAUGGGAGAUUUUCAGCGCUACAAUCCAACAAACCUGGGCAGAUAGGGAUGAGCGGAUCACCUUGGGCCAGUUCUCUCUUACAUCCCUGAGAGACCUGGCCUCUUUGUCUUUCUCUCCUCAGUGUUUCUGAGGUCUGUGCUGCCCUUGGCACUCCUGGCAGUCCUUGUUUGUCCUGUGCUGGCCGGCUUUGAGGCUGACUGGUGGGAGGCUCAGUGUGGGAAGGAAGACAUGGCUUAGCAGUGUUCACCUUGGACAGGCGCGGCUGUACCUCUCAGCCUCAGCUCCUUUUAUUGUAAGAUAGGUAUAAUUAUCUCUGCCUCACGUUUGUUGAGAGGAUCAGGAGAGAUCAUGCAUACAAAGUGUCAGGUAUGAACCUGAGCAUGCGAGCAUAGCCCGAUGUCGAUAAUGCAUUCAACAACAACAACAACAACAACAACAACAACAACAACAACAACAACAAAUCCUGCACAGAAUAGUGGCAGGAGGGAGAGGUUCAAGGCUGCAGAAUCCAGGGCGAGUACCAAAAUGGAGAGGCCAAACAGUAUGGGUGUGGCUGGGCAAAAUGGUGUGGGUGUGAGUAGGACUCUGGUCUCUCAGCAACCUAAGAUGCAAUAGAUUUUACUCUGAUGACAGCAGGGAAUCACUGAGGGAUUUAAUGGCUCCAUCAGUUUGGGUCGUCAUCCCUAGCUGCUUUGUGGAUGUAAUUCUGGUCACGCAGUGCCUAUAAUUCCAGUGCAGUAGCGGGAGGGGCACAGGGCAGUGCAUGUGAUCAAGAUACAUUGUAUACCUGUAUAGACCUGUCAGAUAAUAAACAUGUUUAUUAAACUA